rnacentral:rRNA from 1 species
UACGGAGGAUGCAAGCGUUAUCCGGAAUGAUUGGGCGUAAAGCGUCCGCAGGCGGCAAUGUAAGUCUGCUGUCAAAGCGUCUGGCUCAACCAGAUAAAGGCAGUGGAAACUACAUAGCUAGAGUAAGGUAGGGGUAGAGGGAAUUCCUGGUGUAGCAGUGAAAUGCGCAGAUAUCAGGAAGAACACCCGUGGCUAAGGCGGCUCUCUAGUACGGUACUGACGCUGAGACGCGAAAGCGUGGGGAGCGAACAGG